AUGAGGCUGAGUGUUUCUCAUAUAGAAAUCAUCCGUAAGAUUGUAACAUGAGGGGUUAGAUUAUAAGGUGAAAUUUUAUUCCAAUUAAACUAACGUGAAGAUACUAGGAUUAGAUACCCUAUUAUUUUAAUUGUAAAUUAUAAUUGUUUAACAAAAUUAAUUAAAAUUAAGUUUGUUAAUUAAGUUAAUAAAUAUUAGUUUGAUAUUUAGUUUUUGAAAAAAUUAGGUAGUAAUAGUUAAGGUCUUGAAACUUUAAGAAUUUGACGGUAAUUCAUUCAAUUUAGAGGAACUUGUUUUUUAAUUGAUGAUCCACGAUAAAAAAUACCUAGUCUAUUAUUAAUAAUANUUUUUGUAUAUCGUCGUUUUUAAAGRAUUUUUAAUUUUUCUAAUAUAAUAUAUGUUGUGUAUAAUUAUAUAAAUUCAGAUCAAGGUGCAGNUUUAUGAUUAGGUUARAAUGAGUUACAAUAAAWUWWAUUUAUUACGAAUUUAAAAUUUUAUUUUUUAAUGAAGGAGGAUUUAAAAGUAAAUUUAAAUAAUUAUUUAAGUUGARAAUUGUUUUGAAUUAUGUACAUAUCGCCCGUCACUCUCUUUAUAAAAAGAGAUAAGUCGUAACAAAGUAAUGGUACUGGAAAGUGUCGUUAGAAUUAAUUUUAU
rnacentral:rRNA from 1 species